rnacentral:rRNA from 1 species
AGAUUGAACGCUGGCGGCAUGCCUUACACAUGCAAGUCGAACGGUAGAGUAGCAAUACUUGAGAGUGGCGAACGGGUGAGUAAUAUAUCGGAACGUGCCCAGUCGUGGGGGAUAACGUAGAGAAAUUUACGCUAAUACCGCAUACGAUCUAAGGAUGAAAGCGGGGGACCGUAAGGCCUCGCGCGAUUGGAGCGGCUGAUAUCAGAUUAGGUUGUUGGUGAGGUAAAAGCUCACCAAGCCGACGAUCUGUAGCUGGUUUGAGAGAACGACCAGCCACACUGGGACUGAGACGACGGCCCAGACUCCGUACGGGAGGCAGCAGGUGGGGAAUUUUGGACAAUGGGCGAAAGCCUGGACUCCGAGCAAUGACCGCGUGACGUAGGAAGAAGGCCGUUACGGGUUAGUAAACUUGUACUUUUGUACCGGUAAACGAACGGUACUUA